rnacentral:rRNA from 1 species
AACGAACGCUGGCGGCGUGCCUGAACACAUGCAAAGUCGAGCGUGAAAGUUCCUUCGGGGAUGAGUAAAGCGGCAGACGGGGUGAGUAAUACAUAGGUAAUCUACCUUCGAGCUUGGGAUAACCUCGCGAAAGUGGGGCUAAUACCGGAUAAGACCACGUGGCUUAAGCUACGCGGUAGAAGGUGGCUUGUAUUUAUACUGGCUAUCACUUGAGGAUGAGCCUAUGGCCUAUCAGCUUGUUGGCGGGGUAAAAGCCCACCAAGGCUAUGACGGGUAGUUGGUCUGAGAGGACGACCAACCACACUGGGACUGAGACACGGCCCAGACUCCUACGGGAGGCAGCAGUGGGGAAUAUUGGGCAAUGGCGCAAGCCUGACCCAGCGACGCCGCGUGGGUGAUGAAGGCCUUCGGGUUGUAAAGCCCUGUCAUGCGGAAAGAACAGUCUUACGGUUAAUACCCGUGAGAUUUGACGGUACCGCAGGAGGAAGCACCGGCUAACUCCGUGCCAGCAGCCGCGGUAA